CCUACGGGAGGCAGCAGUGGGGAAUUUUGGACAAUGGGCGCAAGCCUGAUCCAGCCAUGCCGCGUGCAGGAUGAAGGCCUUCGGGUUGUAAACUGCUUUUGUACGGAACGAAAAGACUCUGGUUAAUACCUGGGGUCCAUGACGGUACCGUAAGAAUAAGCACCGGCUAACUACGUGCCAGCAGCCGCGGUAAUACGUAGGGCGCGAGCGUUAAUCGGAAUUACUGGGCGUAAAGCGUGCGCAGGCGGUUAUAUAAGACAGAUGUGAAAUCCCCGGGCUCAACCUGGGAACUGCAUUUGUGACUGUAUAGCUAGAGUACGGCAGAGGGGGAUGGAAUUCCGCGUGUAGCAGUGAAAUGCGUAGAUAUGCGGAGGAACACCGAUGGCGAAGGCAAUCCCCUGGGCCUGUACUGACGCUCAUGCACGAAAGCGUGGGGAGCAAACAGGAUUAGAUACCCUGGUAGUCCACGCCCUAAACGAUGUCAACUGGUUGUUGGGUCUUCACUGACUCAGUAACGAAGCUAACGCGUGAAGUUGACCGCCUGGGGGUAGGUACGGCCGCGAGUUAGUUAACGUACGAAGAGUUAGUGGACGGNGNGAGAGCGACGACGACGACGAGGAGGAGG
rnacentral:rRNA from 1 species